rnacentral:rRNA from 1 species
UACGUAGGGUGCGAGCGUUGUCCGGAAUUACUGGGCGUAAAGAGCUCGUAGGUGGUUUGUCGCGUUGUCCGUGAAAACUCACAACUCAAUUGUGGGCGUGCGGGCGAUACGGGCAGACUGGAGUACUGCAGGGGAGACUGGAAUUCCUGGUGUAGCGGUGGAAUGCGCAGAUAUCAGGAGGAACACCGGUGGCGAAGGCGGGUCUCUGGGCAGUAACUGACGCUGAGGCGCGAAAGCCAGGGGAGCGAACGGG